AUCCCUAUAGCACAAUGGACAGUGCUUUGGAAUUCUCGUUCAAAGGCCGUGGGUUCAAAUCCUUCUUGGGAUG